CGCUAUCACUCCUACGGGGAGGCAGCAGUAGGGAAUCUUCACAAUGGGCGCAAGCCUGAUGGAGCAACACCGCGUGAGUGAAGAAGGGUUUCGGCUCGUAAAGCUCUGUUGUUAAAGAAGAACACGUAUGAGAGUAACUGUUCAUACGUUGACGGUAUUUAACCAGAAAGUCACGGCUAACUACGUGCCAGCAGCCGCGGUAAUACGUAGGUGGCAAGCGUUAUCCGGAUUUAUUGGGCGUAAAGAGAGUGCAGGCGGUUUUCUAAGUCUGAUGUGAAAGCCUUCGGCUUAACCGGAGAAGUGCAUCGGAAACUGGAUAACUUGAGUGCAGAAGAGGGGAGUGGAACUCCAUGUGUAGCGGUGGAAUGCGUAGAUAUAUGGAAGAACACCAGUGGCGAAGGCGGCUACCUGGUCUGCAACUGACGCUGAGACUCGAAAGCAUGGGUAGCGAACAGGAUUAGAUACCCUGGUAG
rnacentral:rRNA from 1 species